ACUGAGGUCAGUAUUAAAGAGGAUCUACUCCGAUAGCAAUUACUUUAGAGGAGAAAUUUUAUACCCUCACAGUGUCUUGGAGCACUCCAAGUCCUCUUUUCCUAACUUUGAGAUCUGCAAGAUAGAAUCUCUCGAUUGAUCCUAGUACAGAAGCCUCCAAUCCUCGAUGAAAGGGUCCGAAACAAACAAGAACCACCUCUUCCCGUGAACCA
rnacentral:lncRNA from 1 species